rnacentral:tRNA from 1 species
GCCUGGGUGGCUCAGUGGGUUAAAGCGCCUGCCUUGGACUCAGGUCAUGAUACCAGAGUCCUGGGAUCGAACCCCAUAUCGGGCU